GAGGAGGCCGACCACCAGGAACUUGCCGCAGUUCCUCUGAAUGUAGCAGCCCAGUCUAAAGAGCAGUCUCUGAAACUUGGCUCGCAGCCACAGCGGCGCCUUCCUCCCGGUCGCUCUCCCCUGCAAGGCAACAAGGAGGAAGAAGUGUCAGUGUAAAAGUCUCCACUUGGGUGGUCAGAGCAGUGGCUGCCCCCACUUUGCCUCAUCGCUGAUGCCUGCGUGCUACAUUCCCAGCGAUAAUGUUGUUCCUAAUCAAUCUGCCCUUAUUUACAUUUGUAAGCACUGCUGGCUGUGAUAUGCAUGGGCCUUGUGUGCAACUGCUCCUCCACACCAAGGGCUGCUUCUGCCUUCAGCAGCUCGCCUGGGACCUGCAGAUGUCUUAUCUCGGACUUGCCCUGUGGGGAAGGUGUCCCCGCGGGUGGAGUGGCUGCAGUCUGCAAUCUGACUGAAAUACGCCUGGUCUCCCCUGCUCCUGGACCGCCAGGGCUGGCACGCAAGAAUCCCGGGGCUUCAUUUUACAAGGCUUUGCCUCUUGCUUGGGUCACCUUCGUGCCCACCGCAACCCCAGACACCGCACAGCUCCACGCUCCCCGCAGCCACGCGAGGGACCAGCCCCGGCAGGGUGUGCAGCGCCGUGACCCUGCUUUACUGUCACGCGUCUCUGCAGGUUGCCCAUCACCUGCGGACCGCAGCAGCGCCGGGGUGCGGGGCCUGCCCUUCCCCUCACCCCACCCCACGGGGGGGCUGCGGAGCCCACCCGCGGGGCGCUGCCUUGGCGUGUCCCCCCGGCCCCGCCACCGCGCAGGGGCACGGAGGCGGCGGCACGGAGCCGGCCCGCUCCCCCUCCUCAGCCCGGCAAGCAAAGGGAGCUGCUCGAGCCAGCUUGUCAAAAUAAUGCGGCUAAUUACCCCUGAUCUCCUUUAAUGGAGAGCCGCUCUGCACGCCGCAAAGGAGCAAAUGAGGGAUCUACAGCGCCGGCCCGGCAGAGCGGGCGUUUCUCCCCGCGGAGGGCUGCGGGAGAUGCGCCUCCCGCGGCCGCCGGCCCUCCGCGCUGCCCCGCCGGGGCCCCGGGAGCUGCGGAGGGCGGCGGCCGCAGCUGCAGCCCCGUCCCCGCCGGGAGACACCCGGCGGGCAUCCCGGCUGCAGCAGAGCUUGUCCUGCCCGGCGAGGGGCUUUAGCCUUAUAAACCCAAGUCGUCUUCAAAACAGAUUUUUUUUUUUUUUUUUUUUUUCCUUCUGGCACGGUGCCCUGCCACUUGCAGGACUUUAAUGCGCACGCAGGGGGGAAAGUUACACUGAACAGUUUUUAGCCAGCCCGGACAACACCGAGCCUGUGUAGCGAUAUAGCUCAAGUCUUGCAUUUGGCAGAGGGCAGGGCAUUCAUUUUCAUGAUCUCUGCCAUCGGGUCUCGCAGAAAAAAAGCUGAGCGACACGAUCUCUUUGACCCACUGCUGGAGCAACAAAUUUAUUAGAGAUAUAGGCGUGAGAAAUGAAAAGGAAGUAAAACAAUUCAGGCUCAUUGUAUGUCUUUCUUUCAUACUGCUAAUCCGGUUUACACAUCACGCCUACAUGUCUCAAUAGGGCUUUAUACACUGUGGCAAAGGCAGAAGAAAAUAAAAGGUGUGUGUGUGUGAGUGCGUGCGUGUGUGUGCAUGUGUGUGUGAAAUAAGGAUAAAAACAGAGAAGCCCGAGACGUUUUAAUUCAGAGUCAGCUGCCGGUUUUAUAUCUACCGGCUCUUGAAAGCAAAUAGAUUUUAAAGGAUUCCUCCUUCCCCCCCUCCCUCCUCAGCCCUAGCAGCGUGUCCGCAGGCACAGUGUCGGGUGAUAAUCCUGCCCCGCCGCGGCUGUAGCGCGGCCCCGGCCAGACACCAGGUACACCCACCGGGCCGGUGCCCAA